AUGGCGGAGCCGGCCACCCGUGACCGACGCCGCCCUCAACCCGCCUUGCUCGAGCGGUGGGAUCGGCCCAAGCUGCCGCCAGAUCGCUGUAGCCGGCGACCCCGACUGCCCAACAAGCACACCACCUCGACGCCUGACACGCCGCCGCCAUGCUGCCAUCGCCGACGAGCUCCGGCGCACUGCUGCGCCCGCCGGCAACGCAACAUCCAGGCCUGGCCGCCUCGGCCCGCGCCAGAGGGCCCAUGCGAGGAGAAGAGACCACCCCAUCGCCGACCGGGCUUCAUGAGAUUACCAAGUCAAUAUGCUGAGAUGGCGGCCCCCGCCAAAAACGUAAUCGUCGAACCCCGCGGGGACUCCCACGAUCGCCAAGGCGAUCUGGCGGCGGAAAUGGGCAACGAGGUGGGUCUCUUCAGCGUGUGGGAGUGGGAGGAAAUCAAGGAGAGAUCGAGGCGGAUUCUACGGGGAUGGACAGAUCGGAAUCGUUGCUUGAUUAAGUCGAAGAAGAGAGCGAAGGAAAUCGCCAAUCAUCUGGCAGGUGAGAUUUCGUCGAAGCCUGGGGUGGGAAGUAGGAGAGGAUCGCGGGGAGCCUUGUGUCCCGCUGGAUCGGAGGGGAGAUUUUCGGAGGGGGGAGCGAUUCCCGCUCAGGAAUCAAAGUCAACACCUGUAGUUUUGCCCCAACUGUUCUCUGGCUUUUCUUCCUCGCGCCGUGGCCUAGGGGAUUUUGCCAUGGUGGGUCGGAGUGAGAUUGAGGGCAGGGUUAUGGGGGAAGAGCAUGUGAGUGAAGUGGGUUCGAGGGGGGCGCCGGCUGCUACGGCGGAGAUGUGCCUCCCACCAGCCAUUGCUGGAGCGGGAUCCUCUCUCCACCUGGCCAUGCCUAAUCACCCGGUGUCGCAGAUGUCGAGGCGCAUCUGGGGUGAGGGGCGUCCUCUUGUCGUUGACAUGGAGGCUGCCCGCAAGGCCGUCAGCGGGUUCCUGGUGGUCGGUCGCCUCCUAUCCCCUUUCCGGAUCAACCCGAGGGUCAUUGUCGAUGACCUCUGGUACACAGCUUGGAAGAACCAAGGGGUGGUUGCCAUACAAGAGGUGGGCAGUGAAGACGGGAGGUUCUCCUCAAUCUUGCCACUGAGAUUCGACGGUAAGGGUGACCCUGCAGAAGUUGACCUUGGCGUCAUGGCCAUUUGGGUCCAGGUUCGCGAUAUUCCAUUCGAGCUCAAGACGGAGAGCAUAGGUUGGUCUCUUGAGGAUCAGCUGGGAGAGGUGCUGGAGAAGAGCCAAGGUGCAAGCAAGAGGGGUCUUCUCUUCGGGAAUGUCUCCCGUGGCGACAAGAAUCCGACCACAAGCUUCGUCAACAACAACAACAACGUCAAGCCCAUGGACGUCGUCAAGGUGGCGACUGCCGAGCACCGACUGGGAGUUUCCUCCUCACGCGCCAAGCUUGACCAGGUGGGUCAGGGGAUGGUGACGGCUGAAGCAAUUCAGCCACUCCCAGUAAUGGUCGGGGAGUUUUGUGAUCUUCAGCUGAAGUUGUCCAGUUCGGCCGAUGUUGAUGCUGCUACGGGCUUACUUCCCUCGGCUGGGAAGGAAGAGCAGGUACACACAGGAAAGAAUGGGAAGAAAGAGAAAAAGAGAGGGAACACGGAUAGAUAUGAGGAGGCACCUAUGAACGCAUAUUAUACGGGGAUAUCUCCUCCAAACGGGUUUGCAUGGGCAGAGUUGAGACAGUGCGAUACCAAGGGUAUGGUCAUACAUAUUGCGAAGGAGACCCAUGAGCAGGAGGAAGAGUAUGGUCAGCAAAGUGUGGAAUCAGUUGGGGAAUAG
rnacentral:rRNA from 1 species